GACGAACGCUGGCGGCGUGCUUAACACAUGCAAGUCGAACGGAAAGGCCCUGCUUUUGUGCGGUGCUCGAGUGGCGAACGGGUGAGUAACACGUGAGUAACCUGCCCUUGACUUUGGGGUAACUUCAGGAAACUGGGGCUAAUACCGUAUAGGAGCUCCUGCUGCAUGGUGGGGGUUGGAACGUUUCGGCGGUUGGGGAUGGACUCGCGGCUUAUCAGCUUGUUGGUGGGGUAGUGGCUUACCAAGGCUGGGACGGGUAGCCGGCCUGGGAGGGUGACCGGCCACAUUGGGACUGAGAUACGGCCCAGACUCCUACGGGAGGCAGCAGUGGGGAAUAUUGCACAAUGGGCGGAAGCCUGAUGCAGCAACGCCGCGUGCGGGAUGACGGCCUUCGGGUUGUGAACCGCUUUCGCCUGUGACGAAGCGUGAGUGACGGUAAUGGGUAAAGAAGCACCGGCUAACUACGUG
rnacentral:rRNA from 1 species